rnacentral:rRNA from 1 species
ACGCGUUAAACCUUACCUGGGCUAGAAUGCAGUCUGACCGUGGGUGAAAGCUCAUUUCGUAGCAAUACGCAGAUUGUAAGGUGCUGCAUGGCUGUCGUCAGCUCGUGCCGUGAGGUGUUGGGUUAAGUCCCGCAACGAGCGCAACCCCCUAUCAUUAGUUGCCAACAGGUAAAGGCUGGGGGAACUCUAGUGAAACUGCCGUCGUAAGACGCGAGGAAGGAGGGGAUGAUGUCAAGUCAUCAUGGCCUUU